AUGCGGCGGCGCGAGCCUCCUCCGCCACUGCCGGCGGCCGGCGGCCCUAUGACCCGAAGAAGAAAGUUGGCGGAAUCUGAACCGCCGGCCGAAGACACCAUCAGCGACCUCCCCGACGCCGUCCUCGGCGAGAUCAUCUCGCUCCUCCCCACCAAGGACGGCGCCCGCACCCAGAUCCUCGCGUCCCGGUGGCGCCACCUCUGGCGCUCCGCCCCUCUCAACCUCGACUGCCGCGGCCUCAACCACGGGGAUGAGCUCGCUGGUGCCUUAUCACGCAUCAUUUCUUCCCACCAAGGCCCCUGCCGCCGCCUCUGCAUCCACGCCGACCUCCUUGACGCCCCAUCCACUACCGUGGACUCCUUGCUCCGGUCCGACGCUCUGGGCAACCUCCAGGAGCUUGAGUUCUCAUGCUUCGAGCGGCCGCCGCCGGCAUCAAUCUUCCGAUUCUCGCCCACCCUCCGUGUUGUCACCAUCGAAUGUUCCAACCUCCCCGACAGCACCGUCCAAGGGAUUCACUUUCCCCUGCUUCAGCAGCUCGGGCUUGAAUUUGUCUGCAUCUCCGAGUGCUCGCUGCAUAGCCUGAUUGCCAGCUGCCCCGUCCUGGAGUCCCUUCUGAUUCACCGCAGUUUUGGCUUUGCCUGCAUCCAAAUUAACUCGCUUUCCCUUAAAAGCGUUGGUCUUGAUAGUUAUGCUGUUUGGGAAAAUAACAAAGUCGCGUUACAGUUACAGGAACUCAUCAUCAACAAUGCUCCUUGUCUUGAAAGGUUACUGCUUCUUCAUCAGGAAACCGGUCUGCACAUAUCAGUAAUUGCGGCACCUAAACUGGAGACCAUAGGCUUCCUUUCUGAUGGGUAUUACGAGUGCAGUCAGGAUCACCUCUACAGACUUGCGUUUGGAUCCACAGUUAUUCUGGGAUUACAUGUAGAUAAUCUGGAGAUGGCGGUGUGCACGGUCAAGAUUUUAGCUAUCCAGAUGAAAGCUCUUUGUUUGGAUACGGUUAUUGACUUGCUGACAUGCUUUCCAUGCUUGGAGAAGCUGUACAUUAGGGCACGUACUUCAGAGUCAAGCAACUUGUGGCGUCGUAAACACCGGAAUCUGAUCAAUUGUCUUGACAUCCGUCUGAAGACGAUAGUUCUGAAAUCAUAUCGGGGCAUCAAGUCUCAAGUUAACUUUGUUACGUUCUUUGUAUUGAACGCGAGAAUGCUAGAGUCCAUGACACUUCAGGUUGAAACCAGUUAUUACAAUGAGGAGUUCUUGGUAGAACAACGUAGGAAACUUCAGCUGCAGGACAGAGUUUCAAGAGGUGCCCAGUUUCAUUUUACAACUGGUAUAUGUAUCCGCACUAACUGGGACAUCAAGCAUGUCCGUGAUUUGGAUGUAGUUGAUCCAUUUGUACGACGGUGCUGA
rnacentral:rRNA from 1 species